rnacentral:rRNA from 1 species
AGCGAACGCUGGCGGCAGGCCUAACACAUGCAAGUCGAACGAACCUUUCGGGGUUAGUGGCGGAAGGGUGAGUAACACGUGGGAACGUGCCUUUAGGUUCGGAAUAACUCAGGGAAACUUGUGCUAAUACCGAAUGUGCCCUUCGGGGGAAAGAUUUAUCGCCUUUAGAGCGGCCCGCGUCUGAUUAGCUAGUUGGUUGAGGUAAUGGCUCACCAAGGCGACGAUCAGUAGCUGGUCUGAGAGGAUGAUCAGCCACAUUGGGACUGAGACACGGCCCAAACUCCUACGGGAGGCAGCAGUGGGGAAUCUUGCGCAAUGGGCGAAAGCCUGACGCAGCCAUGCCGCGUGAAUGAUGAAGGUCUUAGGAUUGUAAAAUUCUUUCACCGGGGACGAUAAUGACGGUACCCGGAGAAGAAGCCCCGGCUAACUUCGUG